GAACAAGUUUAUGCAUAAUCUAGUUCAUUAAUAGCUUAAAUAGUAUCGGCUGAUUCCAACCUGAUACCCUUCUAUUGUUACAGAAUCGAACGAGACUUUGUUAGCUAAUAUUCGAAUAUAACCGACCAGACAACAAUUAGUACCCAACACGUAAUCUGAAGCAGAAAUCUCAAGUAACCUAAAUCGUAGUGUAAAUUUCACGUAAUGAGGAACAGCCAAUUGCGUAUUACCUUCCUAAGUUGGUUGGCAAAAAGAGUAGUAUGACAGGGGUUUUCGAAUAUGCAAUAACAUGAUUUCCCUUUGAUUAGAGUCUUAUUUUGUAGUGAGAACGUGAUCCCUUCAAAUUUAAUACGUUUCAAGUGUCAUUGAUGGUCCUUAUUCAAUCAGAGUACAAUAACGGUCGAGUUGCGUCGUUAUCAGAAAAAGCUCAUACUUUGUGUAUUGGUUGAAUAAUAAUUGCCUUGUAUGUAAUUUAAUCGAAAUCUAAGACAUCAUUAUUUAUAUAUUAGGUGGAAAUAAGUGAGCCCAGCAUAAAGUGGGUUUGUUAGGUGACACACUAAUGAACAGAAACAAUUUGGAAAAUGUCGGACAAAGAGAAUCUUGAUGUUCAAGAAGUAAGCGGUAAUGAUAAUGGGAAUCGAUUAAAUACGGAUGUUUGUAGUAUGGAAGAGCGAUCCGAAUAUUUUAAACAGCUGGAAAAAUGGUUACAAGAAGUGUACACAUGGCAGAGUGUGGUUGCAAUGUUUCCAUAUUAUGUCAUGUCUAGUCAGAUAUUUACUCCUAAUGGUAUGAAAUACACUUAUUCAUACGGUUAUU